UGCCAAACACCAUUGGGUUUAAUGACUCAGAUGAUUUUAAUGGUGCAGCAGUCUUUAAUUACAGGCAGCACGCUGCAGAGAGGGGCUGACGGCACCCUUCCUGGGUUCCCAGGCCCUCUUCUGCCUCCAGCUUUUCCAGUUGAGGUCACAAUUUAGCCUGGACUCAGCCACCGAGAAUUUGCCAGCAAAGUCGAGGAGAAGCGAUUUUAAUUUGCCCCCUGCGGAUACUGAACCACGGCCACUCACGCUGGAUUUCCCGGACUGCUAAAAGCUUAACCCUUAUGCAUGAAGGCCAAGGAGAGUCUGCAGAAUGAGAUCCUGCUCUUGGAGAAAUUUCAGAAAGACCAGCGAAAUGGGAAGGAUUCUCCUUCCUGCCAACCUGGUGGGUGUCAAGACUCGGGAGAUGCCACGAGGUUGCUGUAUCUGAGCCCUAAGCAUGCACCCAGGCCGCAGGAACGAAAGCUGGCUGCCCGGGCUUUCUUUUAACGAGAUGAGAAUUGAACUUCAAAAGCAAACGGUGCAAAACCUCGUAGGGAAAUACCGGAUGACAAAAGGGGAAUUUGGUAACCAAGUGCCUGGAAGGCGCAGGAGUGGGGAGCCUCGUCUAAGUCAAUGAGCGGGUCCCAUGGAAUCUGGGGGUCAAAACAGUACCUUGGUUGUUAAGAAAGUGGUGCAAAUCGACCUGGAAUGGCUUGGUUAAGAAUUUCAGCUCUGGGGAAAUGUUUCCAUGCUCCCAACAAAAUGCUAUCUUUUAGCAAGUGUGUGGUGAUUCCGUUUCUAGGAAUUUAACCUUCAAGCCUGCUGACACUUAAGUAAAUGACACUUGUGGAUGCAGGCCUGUGACAGCAGAGAUUUUAAUUGCCAAAGACUGGAAAUAACCCAGCCUUCACUAACUGUGUCCUGGUGAAAUAACUUACGCUAUGCUGAUACAGAUGGAAAACAAUGCAGCAAUUAAAAAGAACAAGGCAAUCCUAUAUGGAUGAAACUGAAGAAUCGACAAGAUAUAUACCUAAGUGAAAAAAACAAGACACAUUACAGAGGGCGCAGUUUGUUGCCAUGAGCUACAAGGAGUGGCUGGAAGCACAGUCUAGAGCCAGGACUCUUGAAACUGAAUUCCAAUUCUCUCUCACUAGCUCUGUGACUUUGGGCAACUCGCUGUACCUCUCUGGGCCUCAGUUUCUUCAUCCAUCAAAUGGAUCACUAAGAAGAGUUAAUUUAUCUAAAGUAUGCAUUCUCAACGGGGGUGAUGUUUUCCCCCCAGGGGGGCAAAAAUUAGUUCAGAAGAUGUGGUGGUAAAAAAAUCUUAAGAUAUUACAAUCAUUUGUGGCCUUCCAAAGCUAAACCCUACCCGAUAAAUCUUAUCCCUUAGUAUUUAAUUUCUCUCACCAGGGAGAAUUGAAAUUAAAUUAAAGUUUUCUUCUUAGGAGGGUGAUAAUGAAAAAAAGGUCGAGAAACACUGAUCUAAAGUAUUCCGCAGCAGGAGGCGGAUGGGGAUGACAUUUACCUUGCCAACGUGCUCAGAGCCUUAAACAAAACGAUGGCUGUCGAGGCCACAGUGCUGUCUCGUUAUCUGGGCCUCACCAAAACGCCAGGGGGGGGGGGGUCAAUGCUGCUGUCAACCCGCAGUUCUCAAUGAGGAGCUGGGGUCCAAAGAAAAUGGGACUAGGCCAAAGGGCAGAAGCAGAGCCUGAAUUUUCGCCUGGUCUCCCUGACUGAGAGCUUCCCCUUUAUGCUCUAAUGACAUCUGAAGACCACAGGGCCCAGUUGUUCAUGCAGCUGCCCUGAGUCCACUCCAAGUCAUGACAGGUCAACGCAGAUGUCCAGAUGGGUCCUCACCAUUAGAGCAUGAGUACACGACGGCGAGUCUAGCCCAUGGACCGUUGUAGCAAACAGCCGGGAACUCCUGUCACAUCCACUAGGAGGAAGCUUAGAGCUGUUCCACUGCCCUCACAGUGUCUUCUUGGCAGGCCGUCUGGAGAAAUUUCCACCUGCCCCGAGCACUAAGCAUAGCCCCGCCUGCCAUGAGCAAUGGUCUGUGUCAGUCGUCUGGACACAGCGUGGUAGAAGGGAGCACACUGCUUUCCCCACUGGCUGCCAGAAAGCUCCAAGCCAGCUCUCAGGUGCCCUCCAGCAAGGUCUUCGUGGCCCGUGCUUUAUGUCAAUCCUGACUCCAAGUUAUGGUCCCACCGUCACGUAGCCUUCCUUUGGCCUCAGUUUAAUGUACGUGACCUUAUUUUGUUUUGUAAACUGCCUCCACCCUUUCUAGAAUAGGGAGAGGUGUCAAGAGAUGAAUCAAUAAACAAACACACGGAACUCCAAGAAGUUCUAGAAAAAGCCACCACUGGCAGAAGAACCCAUUGGGCCUCAUCACCCAGUUCCCCAGGGACUUUCAAGCGAGGCUGGCAGGUGGGGGCUGGCCCUUUGGCCUGGAAUGGGUGAGAAGGAGAGGAAGGAGGGAGAACGGCAGCUUUAGUCAUGGUGGUCUCAACAGGCAGGUCACCAACUGAUUCCUUGGGUUUCUUCAUUCAUUCAUUCAUUCAUUCAUUCAAGACCUGCCAUGUGCAAAGCACCGUGCUUCCUGAGCAGGAUACAAUGAUGAACAAAGAAAAUGACAUGGUCCUUGCCCUCAGGAAGAUUCUAUUCAGUUCAGGGGUCAGCAAACGGCACCUGAUGGGCCACAUCUGGCCUGCCAGCCUCUUUUUGUACAGUUUCAUUGGAACCCGGCCAUGCUCGUUCAUUUACAUAUUAUCUACAACUGCUUUAUCGCCACACCGGCAGAAGUGAGUAGCUGUGACAGAGACGAUAUGCCCCACAAAGCCUCAAUUAUUUACUGUCAGGCCCGUUACAGAAAAUUUGCCAACCCUGACUUUUAUUUGUGAGUAUAUGAAAAAUUUUCCAAAUCAACAAAAAAGAAAUUCUGAUACCCUCUCGAGACCCCAGUUUUCUCAUCUAUUAAAUUGACAGGAUAAGCGUGUCAUCGUGAGGGUGAAAUGACAGGACACACGGGAAGCCCUCAGAAAUGAGCCUAGAACACCCGCACCCGCGAUCUUCUUUGAUUCUCGUUAUUACUGAUAUGACGACGGCUGGAGUCAGAAGAGGAAUAAUUUCAGCCCAACACGGCUUGAAAACACAUUCAGCCUCCUCACACUGAUUCUCGGAAUACGUACGAUUAGCUGAUCGAAGUCAUCCUGGCAUUUUACCAUUUCUCUUGAUUUUGAGAUGAAUAUAUUUUUGUUCACGCUUUCAACAUUUCUGAAAGUGAGGCUUACCCUGAUAAUCAAUGUAUACACAUGAUUUGUUAAUUCAUAUUUGUUGAGCACCAAUUAUGUGGCAGGCACUCAGGUCUAUGUAACAAUUUGUGAACAAUAAAUAUAUGGAUGUAUGGAUAUGUGUGUGUAUAUCUAUAGUUGAUAAGGCAUAAAUGAUGCUCACUUGGAACCUGCAUUGGAAUGGGGGAGGCCAACAGUAGUUGUAUAUAGCCUGUCAGGUGGUAAUAACAGCUAUGAAGAAAAAUAAAUCAGAAGGGAGGGAGAGAGAAUGGUGGCAGUCCGAAAUUUUAAAAGCGGUGGUCGGAUGGCCUCCCCAGGAGAUGACCGUUGAGCAAGGACCCGAGGGCAGCAGGUGACAGGGUGAGCGUGCCAGAAUUUGGGAGCACAGGCUCCAGGCAGAGGGAAGGACAGGCACCAGCCCAGGUGCAAAGAUGCGUAUCUCUGGCAGCGUGUUUUUCUCCCCCUCUCCCCACCAACGCCGUUACUCCCGCUCUGCUAUCCUCAGAUUACGGAAAUGCCCUAUUUGUCCACCAAAGGCGUGGUGUGGAAUAAUGGCACCGGCUUCUGGACUUGGGACUCAGGUGAGGUGACGGUCACGUUUUAUUUCAGCUUAUUCCUCAAGCUCAGCUCCUCUGAAAUUGCUGACAUGUUUUCUUGGCCCGAAACCUGCUGUAAGCCUUUGGCCAAAAGCAUCACCUGUCAACAACCUAGGAAAUCCACAGAUACGCUGUACAGACAGAAAAGAGUACGGGGGUGAUGAGGUCGCGGCUGUGACAUUCCUCCACCAGGAUUCUCAGCAAACUCACCAAGAACAAAGCCACAGACCCAGAAAAGAAACGGCGACAGCCUCUGGGUGGCAAGGAAGACAGGACCCCAGCAGCCAGACUUCGUUCCACUGACAACUCACAGUGACCCCGAAUAUUCUCCGUUUUACAGAAGAGGGGACCCAGGCUCAGGGAGGAGCUGACUGGAAGCUCGUCCCAGGUCCCUACGUCAGGAUGACCCUGGUCUUGACGCUCUAGAACAGGAGGCAAGUCAUUCUCAGACUUGGGUUCAAGUUCAUGCAUCCAUCCGCUGAACAGAUGAAGUGUUUCUCCACUAAGCAUUCAUAACUGUAAGACCCCACAAGCCCCAGACUCUGGCUUCCGGAGAACUUUUCUUUCCAGACGAAAAGAGCCAGGUCUCGGGGCCCACACAUGUGGGGAACAGCCACUCCUGUGUGCCGACCCCCCUUCCAGCAGACGCUCUGGCAGCCACAGGGAGCCCGGGGUGGCGGGGGGUGAGCGGUUUACUCACUGCUUCUAACCCAGCUGGGACUCACCCCUCACUCCUCUGGCCUCGGGGGAAAGGCUCGCCCUGGGAGAUGGGGUGCCCUCUCCAGCUGAGGACAACUGUGCACUUCCUCACUUCCCCUACACACAGGGAGUGAAGUGCACCUGACAUGGAACAGCAACUAGAAAGUCACCCCGAGAGCCUCUGAGCACCAGCAGCUGGAAGUUCUUGACCCUCCCCUGGCGCGUGGGGAUCAAUUUCCCAGUAACUUACCAGGCGCAUCCUCCAGGAUGAGAUUAGGCGGCGGUGUUAUAGACCGAACGUCUGUUUCCCCCCCAAAAUUCACGUUAAAAUCCUACCCCACCCCAUGUGGUAGAAUCAGGAGGCGGGGCCGUGGGGAGGUGAUUAGGUCGUGAGGGUGGGGCCCUCAAGAAUGGGAUUAGUGCCCUUAUAAAGGGGACCCCAGAGAGCUCCCUUGCCUUCUUUUUGCCUCGUGAGGAUGCAACAAGAAGUCGGCAGUCUGCCGCUGGCACCCUGACCUCAGACUUCAGACCUCUGAGAAAUCAAUCCCUUUUGUUUUUAGCCACCCGGUCUAUGGUCUUUCACAGCAGGCCCAGCAGGCUAAGACAGGUGGGGAUCCACCACAAGUGUAUCCAAAUGAAGAGAAUUCAAAGAGGAAGGUUUUGAGGCCCAGAGAGGCAAAGUGACUUGCCCAAAGUCACGCAGCUGGAGUGAGUCAGAGCUGAGCCUUGAACGAGUCAUCUCUAUUUUAUUUACAUUUGGCAGUGGAAUAGAUUUGAAUCAAAUGUGCUUGGGCACAGAGGAAAUUUGACCUGAAAGGCAGUUUUUGUGGCAGGAAGAAAGCCAAGAGAUAUUUCCUGCCUUUCCAAGGAGUCUUUGGAAGUGCUUCUUGUCCCCAGUGGUUUAAUGUUCCUCCUUUGUGGAUGACCCACUGCAGUCAAGAAGACGAAGAGGACCAGCUAGAAGCCGGGGCCUCCCUGCCCUCCCCCUCCGCCGAGAGAAGACCGGCUCUCCUGUCCGGGAUAAUCAGCCUCUGCAAACGCACGCAUCAGUUCAGCAGUAACAACAAAUCGCCAAGUUCCACUCCUCUGGCAGGGCAGGAGAUGUGGACCCUGGCCCUGAGGAAGCCAGCAGCAGCAGCAGCAGCAGCAGCACCGGGGGGCUUGCUGGAAAUGCAGACUCCCGGGCCCCACCCCCAACACCUGCUGAAUCAGAAGCUGCAUGUGAACAAGAUCCCAGAUCACGCUUUGAGAACCACCGAGCGACAGCCUCAUGGGGGUCCCGGCAGAGCUCAGAGGGGCCCACGAAGACGUUCUAGAAGAGGGAAUGUGUGAGCUGGAAGGAUGGAGGGGAGCUUGCCAGAAAUAAUUACAGACUCACAGGAAGUUGCUAAGACAGCACAGAGAGUUCCGUGUUCCUUCGCCCAGCUUCCGCCAAUGGUGACAUCUUAUGUAACUGCGGUGCCAUAUGAAAGCCAGGCCCUUAACAUCGGUACAAGACUAUGAACCAGAGCACAGACCUCAACUGGUUUCACGUUUUCUAUGCA